CCCUUAGAUGUUCUGGGCCGCACGCGCGCUACACUGAUGCAUUCAACGAGUCUAAAACCUGGUCUGAUAGGGCUGGGUAAUCUUUUGAAAGUGCAUCGUGAUUGGGAUAGAUGAUUGCAAUUCUUCAUCUUCAACGAGGAAUGCCUAGUAAACGCAAGUCAUCAGCUUGCAUUGAUUACGUCCCUGCCCUUUGUACACACCGCCCGUCGCUCCUACCGAUUGAAUGAUCCGAUGAAUACCAUGGAUUGAGAGUUCGAAUAGGUUCGCCUAUUUCAGCUUCUCGGGAAGUGGAGUAAAUCUUAUCAUUUAGAGGAAGGAGAAGUCGUAACA
rnacentral:rRNA from 1 species